rnacentral:rRNA from 1 species
UACAGAGGGUGCGAGCGUUGUCCGGAAUCACUGGGCGUAAAGGGCGCGUAGGUGGCGGCCCAAGUCCAUGGUGAAAGCUCGAUGCUCAACAUCGAGUCGGCCACGGAUACUGGGUUGCUUGAGCACUGUAGAGGCUAAUGGAAUUCCGGGUGUAGCGGUGGAAUGCGUAGAGAUCCGGAAGAACACCGGUGGCGAAGGCGGUUAGCUGGGCAGUUGCUGACACUGAGGCGCGACAGCGUGGGGAGCAAACAGG